rnacentral:rRNA from 1 species
GCUUGCACUUGCGCUGACGAGUGGCGGACGGGUGAGUAACGCGUAGGAAUCUACCUGGUAGUGGGGGAUAGCCCGGGGAAACUCGGAUUAAUACCGCAUACGCCCUACGGGGGAAAGCAGGGGCUCUUCGGACCUUGCGCUAUUGGAUGAGCCUGCGUUAGAUUAGCUAGUUGGUGGGGUAAAGGCCUACCAAGGCGACGAUCUAUAGCUGGUCUGAGAGGAUGAUCAGCCACACUGGGACUGAGACACGGCCCAGACUCCUACGGGAGGCAGCAGUGGGGAAUAUUGCGCAAUGGGCGAAAGCCUGACGCAGCCAUGCCGCGUGUGUGAAGAAGGCUCUAGGGUCGUAAAGCACUUUAAGUGGGGAGGAAGGCUACUUGGUUAAUACCUGAGUAGAUUGACGUUACCCACAGAAUAAGCACCGGCUAACUCCGUGCCAGCAGCCGCGGUAAUACGGAGGGUGCGAGCGUUAAUCGGAAUUACUGGGCGUAAAGCGCGCGUAGGCGGUUUUGUAAGCUGGGUGUGAAAGCCCCGGGCUCAACCUGGGAACUGCAUUCAGAACUGCAAGGCUAGAGUACAGUAGAGGGUGGUAGAAUUUCCUGUGUAGCGGUGAAAUGCGUAGAUAUAGGAAGGAAUACCAGUGGCGAAGGCGGCCACCUGGACUGAUACUGACGCUGAGGUGCGAAAGCGUGGGUAGCGA